rnacentral:rRNA from 1 species
UACGUAGGUGGCAAGCGUUGUCCGGAUUUACUGGGCGUAAAGAGCGCGCAGGCGGUCGUUCAAGUCGCGUGUGAAAGCCCCCGGCUCAACUGGGGAGGGUCACGCGAUACUGAUCGACUCGAAGGCAGGAGAGGGUAGUGGAAUUCCCGGUGUAGUGGUGAAAUGCGUAGAUAUCGGGAGGAACACCAGUGGCGAAGGCGGCGCGCUGGACCUCUACUGACGCUGAGGCGCGAAAGCCAGGGGAGCAAACGGG